GCCGGCUCACUUCACGAAAAGGUGAAAGUGAAAGCGGGUGCCCGGUGCGAUACGUGCGUGGCGUUGUUACAACAUCACCCUACAUUCCAUCGACACAGGAUUUGGUGAGUACCCGUAUCACAGGUCACAUCGUGGGACAGACACCGCUGGAGCACCUCUUCGGAAAAGGUAGAGUGAAAGAUUCGCUUUCCUAGGCGUUAGGGCGAUAGGAUGCACUGCUAACGAUCGUUGCCUUUCAGAUAUACUAACGAACGUUCUAGUCUUUCCCAGAACAGCAAUGAACUUGUCAGUGUGUUGUGGUGGAGACCAGAUGAGAACUCGUGGCGGUGAAGGAACAUGGUGGUCGUGGCGGGCGUGCUGCAUUCAUACGCGUUGUGUUUGGGAGGGAUGCAUUCACUUCUGUUAGUCCUGCUGAGUGCGUGUCGUGAAGAGAUUAGCGGAAAACAUCAAGGUCAGGUGUAGAAGAGGAUAUUCAGAUGGAAGGCGGGAAAUCUCACGGCAUUUGGAAAGGUGAGGAAAGGGUUCUUGUCUUUCUGGUAAGGGAAGAAGGUAAGAUUAAUAAUGUUCUCUUACAGAUCACACUAAUUAACUUUCUUACAGAUUUAGUAAAGAAAGGAAGGUAAGACUAACCAUAUUUAUUUGCAGGUUAAACUAAUUCUCUCCAUUACAGGUCAAAACUAAUUAUUUCUCACUUGCAGGUCAAACUAAUAUUUUUCUUGCAGGUCAAUGUAAUUCCUUUUCUUUUGCAGCUAUAACCAAUCCCUUCUUUUGCAGCUAUAACCAAUCCCUUUUCUUUUACAGCUAUAACCAAUCCCUUUUCUUUUGCAGCUAUAACCAAUCCCUUCUUUUGCAGCUAUAACCAAUCCCUUUUCUUUUGCAGCUAUAACCAAUCCCUUUUCUUUUGCAGCUAUAACCAAUCCCUUUUCUCUUGCAGCUAUAACCAAUCCCUUCUUUUGCAGCUAUAACCAAUCCCUUCUUUUGCAGCUAUAACCAAUCCCUUCUUUUGCAGCUAUAACCAAUCCCUUUUCUCUUGCAGCUAUAACCAAUCCCUUCUUUUGCAGCUAUAACCAAUCCCUUCUUUUGCAGCUAUAACCAAUCCCUUCUUUUGCAGCUAUAACCAAUCCCUUCUUUUGCAGCUAUAACCAAUCCCUUUUCUUUUGCAGCUAUAACCAAUCCCUUCUUUUGCAGCUAUAACCAAUCCCUUCUUUUGCAGCUAUAACCAAUCCCUUUUCUUUUGCAGCUAUAACCAAUCCCUUCUUUUGCAGCUAUAACCAAUCCCUUUUCUUUUGCAGCUAUAACCAAUCCCUUCUUUUGCAGCUAUAACCAAUCCCUUCUUUUGCAGCUAUAACCAAUCCCUUCUUUUGCAGCUAUAACCAAUCCCUUUUCUCUUGCAGCUAUAACCAAUCCCUUUUCUCUUGCAGCUAUAACCAAUCCCUUUUCUCUUGCAGCUAUAACCAAUCCCUUCUUUUGCAGCUAUAACCAAUCCCUUCUUUUGCAGCUAUAACCAAUCCCUUCUUUUGCAGCUAUAACCAAUCCC